GCUCGGAUUGGAUCCCUGGCCUGGGAACUUCCACAUGCUGCGGGUGUGGCCAAAAAAGGGGGAAAAAAAUAAGCCAUAUGAUGUUGUAUCAAAAUACGUUUUUAAAUGCCAGGAUAAUAGCUGUGCUAGCCAUGCAUUUAAGAAUGAAGCCCAUGUCUUUUGUGACAGACUGGAAAACCAUAUGUUUAUUCAGCAGUAAAAUAUAGUUUUGAAUUUAAAUCAACUAUUGAUCAAUGGCUGGUCUUGUGCUCUAAGGAAUGAAGCAGCAAGAAUAAGAAAAGGGGAGUUCCUGUUGCAGCUCAUCAGGUUAAGAACGCGACAUAGUCUCUGCAAGGAUUUGGGUUCGAUCCCUGGCCUCGCUCAGUGGGUUAAGGAUCCAGCAUUGCCGUGAGCCAUGGUGUAGGUCACAGACACAGCCUGGAUCUGGCGUUGCUGUGUCUGUUGUAUAGGCCGGCAGCUGCAGCUCUCAUUCAGCCCCUAGCCUGGGAACCUCCAUAUGCUGCAGGUGGGGCCCUAAAAAGAAAGGAGAGACCAGGAGAAUUAGAAAUUAGAGUAAUAAAACCCAGGACGUGAAGGGUAGUGGAAAGGCAGCGGGUGGGGGAGAAAAAGUCACCCGGCAGUUGGAAACGGAGGGCAGGGCCUUCCUGCUUCGCACACUUCAGGCGGCAAUUCUACCACCCAGGCCUCCCAGACGCCUCCCUGUGUCUUAGGUUGCAAGUAGCUGAAUUGUUUGGAACCAGGAUGGAAGUAGAGUGGCUCCAGCUUUGCCAUGGGAAGAACUGUUUGAUCUGUUUAAAGGAGGCAACUUGUGUUGAGGCACCAGCACUCGUCUUGGGGCCAGCAGCUGGUUUGUGCUCUGAGUCCAGCCCCUCAGAGGGACCCCAAGCAGCACCUGCUACCCUAUUUCCAGCCACUCAGUCCUCUUAGGAACACGAGGGAGUGCUUUCAUCUUUGUAAGUCAAAAGAAUGAGAGGUUUCUUUUUCUUUUGAGGUUGCACUUUUUUAAUGUAUUUUAUAUCCCUUGUCUUCUCUGGCUCAAGCUGGCUCUUGGGCCAGAGCAGAUGUUAAGUCUCAGACUCCUCAGAAUAGCAGUUGUUCCUAAGCAUCCCUUUUUGCUUCUUUGUGUCUCACAUGGUGACCUGUAGGUCACCCAUUCCUCUCCCGUGACUUUUGAUGUAGAAGAGCUUGUGUUUCAAAUGGGUUUGGUUUUCUUAACGUCACACUGGGUUGGUGGAAGGAGGUUAAAUGGGAUCUCAGGGGGUCCCCCCCACCCCCCGCCCCUGGGGGCGGGGGGGUAGGUUUCAACAGAUGGAAGUUAAUUGUCUCUUGAGAAGAGAGGAAGCUAUUGAGCUUUCAUCUGGCCCCGUCCGCUGCCCCUAUUCUGCCUGUUAGCAGAGAGCAAGCGUCCACUCCCGGCCACUGUGCCCCCACCCAGGACCAAAGGCCAACUUAGUUCAGUGCAAAGUCAUAAAGGAAUAUUCCGUUAUUCCCUCCUUCCUGGUACUGGAGGAACCAUUGGCCUUCUCUCUUUCAAAAUUGCCCAAGGCUUGUGCAGAGGGUUGUUAGAAUCCAGAAAGAAAUACGUCCUAAUCAACACAAAUCUCAUUACCACAUAAAAACCAUCAGAUCCUAGUGCUGGGGUAUUUAAAGUCCCGCUGUCGUUUAGGCGAGGCCACCAAAAAAUGACAUUCUGCAGUUUCUUCACUUUUCCCCAUCUACUUAUGUGGCAUCUUUUAUUCCAAAAUGUUUCUCCAUCCCAAUGAGCUUAAGCCUGAGUGAGAAAUUUUAAUAUAUCCUCCAUCCAGGAAGUUCCAAAGCUGGCCUGGGUCCUUGGGAUAUAUUUUUUAGAACAUUUGAAACAAACGCUUCUUUAGAACUUGAUUAAAUAAACACCCCAUUGCACUGAAAGCCCUUUGUGGAUGUUCAUUUAUUUAACACUUUUUCAUCCUGACUAGUAAGUACUGAUAUCAUCUUCUUUGGGUAGAUGAGGAAACUGAAGCAAAGAGAGGAACCCAACUAGUAUCCAUGAGGGUGCAGGUUUGAUCCCCGGCCUCGCUCAGUGGGUUAAGGAUCUGGCAUUGCUGUGAGCUGUGGUGUAGGCAGCAGACAUGGCUCGGAUUCCUCAUUGCUGUUGCUGUGCAGACGGCAGGUGCAGCUCCGAUUCAACCCCUAGCCUGGGAACUUCCAUAUGCCACAGGUGCGGCCCUGCAAAGCAAAAAAAAAAAAAAAGAGCAGGCAUCUUUUUUGUGAGUCGGGUGUACAUUCCUAACUCAUGCAAAAGCUGGGGGCAAUCAGCUGUUUGGAUGAGGCACACAGCUCACCCCCUAACUCACCCCCGUCCCCAUUGCAGCACACCACAGCCUCCAGUUAGAUUUCCUGCCUGAUCCUCCCUCCCCCAGCUUAGCGGCUUGUGACCUCUAGUCAGGCUGCUGUGUGCACAGACAUUGCUCCAGUACAGCAAGGGCUGGGCCCAAAAUGCAUUCUCGGUCUUCCAGACACCUAAUUUCCUCAGUUUUCCCAGUAACUGGGUUUCUGGUUAGUUAUGUCUCAUGGUUCAUCUUGUCCCAGAGAUAAAACAUGAAAGGGAGUGAAUCACUUCUUCUGGCUGGAGGUCCCAAACCCCUGCUGUUCUGGAAAAGGUUCUGGCAAGCGGUUGAUGGGCGCAGGUUGGUUCCCCAAGGUGAGCAGGAUCACAGGAUAUGUCAAACAUGUGUCCAGGCAAGGUUCCACGGCCAAUAUGAGCCCUAGGUCUGGAGGACCAAGGGCAUCACAGAGGCCAGAACUUCAGAGUUGGGAACAAAAGUUGUUCAGAGAGGAAGGAGGUAGAAAGAGCACAAUAUAGGGUAGCAACUCAAGUCAGGAGAUAGGACUUCCCUGGAAAAGUUGUCUGUUGAAUUCUUCUCCCUAUAGCGAAACCAGUGCCCCAGCCCUACAGAGUUGCUGUUGGGAUCCCAUGAGACAGUGUACUCUGGGUCUUAGCAUGAUGCUUGGUAUGGUCGGUUCUAACCCAGAGUCCCGGGAGCUCCUGAGUGACUGCUGAGAAUACUAACAGGUGUUGGCAGUUUGCUUCUGUGCAGAGAAGGUGCUUGAGCUGUGGUUGGGUCCAGUCAGUUCUCAAGGGCAAAUCCAAGACAGAGGUUGAUUAUUCAAAACCUUAACUUUGUGCUGCAAUCAUUUAUUUUGUUUUUAAUCUUAAAUGUGUUUACUUAUAUUCAGUUUAUUUAUUUUAUUUUUUGUCUUUUUUUUUCUUUUAAGGGCCACACCUGCAGCAUAUGGAGGUUCCCAGGCUAGGGGUUGAAUCAGAGCUACAGCUGCCAGCCUAUGCCAGAGCAACAUAGGGUCCAAGCCACAUCUGUGACCGAAACCACAUCUCACGGCAACACCGGAUCCUUGACCCACUGAGCGAGGCCAGGGAUCGAACCUGCGUCCUCAUGGAUACUAGUCAGAUUUGUUUCCACUGAGCCAUGAUGGGAACUCCUAUAUUCAGUUUAUUUUAUUUUCAAAAGUCAGUGGGACAGAAAGGAGAUCAAGGGUAGACCUCUGGGUGAUGAUACUAAGUGUUUUUAAGCACAUCUAUGGUUGAUUUAAAAAAAAAAAAAAAAGGUUAGUUUGAAUGACAUGCACAUUCCUCUCUCUUCACAUCUUAAAACUAUUGCGCAGAAAAUGAUUCCACAAGACACAGGCGACGUCAAAUCACCUUAGACGUCAUGUUUUGUCAUUUCUUUCUUCCUUUUCUCUCCGCUCCCUUCUUUCUUUAUAGCAGCUCACAAAUUUGUUUUAUUCUAACUUAGCGUCUCCAGUGUAAGCUAAGGAACACUAUUCCCACUAGAUUCUCUAGAAAAGAGUAUUGUGGUCAAAUGAAUUGAGGAAAUGCUUCCUAUUUUAUCUCCUGCUCUGAGAUUUGCUAUGCGUGUUAAAACAUAUACAAGGGUUUAAAUUGCCUUGAAAUGGGAAAAAAAAAAAAUCUUUCAAUCCCGUCUCUCUCAGAAGCAAGGUACUGUGGAACUUUUCCUCUCCCAGGUAAAUCCUAUUAAACCCUGUUGGAUACACGUGGAGAACUGCUGAUCUAGGUCUACUCAUUAAAUGACUUGCCAAGCUCGAAACUGGACUGAUUAUUGCUAUUGCUGCUGCCACUGCUGCUGCUGCUUUCAUUGAAGGUGUCAUAGUCUAUAAAUUUCUCUAACUUGCAAAGACUUAACUUACACGGAAAUCAGAAGAGCGUGUCUUCGACCCUCCGCCUCACGCCUAUCUGAAGGGAUAAUGUUGCAUAAUGGGAAAGCUCACGUACAACAUACAGAAAAGUUGUUCUGAGCCUGUCAACGUUUUAUAUUCCUUUUCUUCCCCAAGGAGGCUUGUAUUAACCCCACACAAGUUUUUCUUUAAAAAAAAAAAAAAAUUAUGUAGGAGUUCCCGUCGUGGCUCAGUGGUUAACAAAUCUGACUGGGAACCAUGAGGUUGCAGGUUCCAUCCUUGGCCUCGCUCAGUGGGUUAAGGAUCCGGUGUUGCCGUGAGCUGUGGUGUAGGUCACAGGCGCGGCUCGGAUCCCAAGUUGCUGUGGCUCUGGCAUAGGCCAGCAGCUACAGCUCCAAUUAGACCCCCAGCCUGGGAAUCUCCAUAUGCUG
rnacentral:lncRNA from 1 species